rfam:Gorilla gorilla gorilla genomic chromosome, chr3, whole genome shotgun sequence
GCCAGGUGCGGUGCCUCACAUCUGUAAUCCCAACACUUUGGGAGGCUGAGAUGGGUGGAUUGCUUGAGCCCAGGAGUUCAAGACCAGCCUGGGCAACACAGCGAGACCCCAUCUCUU